CGCCGCCGCCGCAGUCUUCUGCUGCGUCUUCUGCGUCCGCCGCGGUCGACUUCUGCUGUUUGCUGGCGUGUGUUUCUGCUGCGUGCGCCGCCGCGGGACGCGUUUGGGCGCCGCUGGUCACUGACUGGUGUUUUGCAUCAAAAGCAUUGUCGCCUGACAUUCUGUCAGGCCUCAUCUCCAGCCUCGCUGCUGACGCCAGGAGUCGUGUGGAGCUGGACGGCAGAGUACAGCGGAUAUAACGCAGGGGCGACCCGGCAUGUAGCUGCGGCGAGUGGCAGAGACAGCAGCUCCGUGGAGCGCGCCGCACCGCCCGCCCGACAGACGGAUACGCAGACACCGCAGACGGCGUCAGACAGCGGCGAGUGGCUCGCGGACAGCAGACAGUGCCACCAGACAGCGAAUAUGAAGGUACUGCUGGUGAUAUUCGUGUUCGGAUG